CCUUAGCCCGGAUAGUAGUGAAAAUCCUUUUUAUCCUGAAUUUAGUUCAGAACUCUGUACUAAAUUCAGGAUAAAAAGAUUGUAGCGUAUAGCCGGAUUAGCU
rnacentral:sRNA from 1 species